rnacentral:rRNA from 1 species
CAGCCGCCGCGGUAAUACGGAGGGUGCAAGCGUUAAUCGGAAUUACUGGGCGUAAAGCGCACGCAGGCGGUCUGUCAAGUCAGAUGUGAAAUCCCCGGGCUUAACCUGGGAACUGCAUUUGAAACUGGCAGGCUAGAGUCUUGUAGAGGGGGGUAGAAUUCCAGGUGUAGCGGUGAAAUGCGUAGAGAUCUGGAGGAAUACCGGUGGCGAAGGCGGCCCCCUGGACAAAGACUGACGCUCAGGUGCGAAAGCGUGGGGAGCAAACAGGAUUAGAUACUUGCGUAGUCCCUGUCUCUUAUAC